rnacentral:lncRNA from 1 species
UACAUUUGCAGCUGAAUGAUGACAUUCUCUUAAAAAUGUAUUUGGAGAAGGGUAGGUGGGACAAUCAUUUGGUUUAUAAGUUUCUUGUGUGAGGCUUUUAUGUAGAAAUGCAGAUCUGAGACGUGGGAUCUAGAUUGAAAAUAAAAGCUGUUAAGUUUGUAGGGGGAAAUUAAAAUCUUGAGUAUACAUGAAUUAUAUUUUGGAUACAGGUUAGGGAUGUGCAGUGAAGAAGUUCAAUUCCAUUUGGGCUAGGUAGAAGAAGAAAAGCCAUAUAAGAAGCAGUAUUCAAAAGGAUAUUAUGAAGCUAGGCAGAGUAGCACAUGCUUAUAAUCCCAGUGGUUAGGGAUACUGAGGCAGGAGGAUCAUGAGUUCAAAGCCAGCCUUAGUAACUUAGCAAGGCCCUAGGCAACUUGGUGAGACCCCAUCUCUAAAUACAAAUGUAAAAAUGAAAGGGCUAGGGAUGGUGCUCAGUGGUUAACUGCAGCUGGGUUCAAUCCCUGGUAUCAAAAAUAAAGUGUGGGGUGGGGAUAGUAUUGCGUUCCUGACAAGACAAUAAGUGCUUCAAAGUAGUGGUAGACAGUGUCAAAUGACAUUGAGAAGUCAUGUGAAAUAAGUAAAAAAUAGCCACUGGAUUUGACAACAUGAUGGUCAUAAGUGACAGCAAGAACUAUUUUGUUGGAGUAAAAAGGAAAGAAGCCCAAUUUGAAUGGUAUGUGAUAAAUGAUGAAAGAAUGGAAUUCAUGUGGAGCUCUCUUAAGUUUUGUUUGAUUUAUGUUUCAGAUGGAGGUAAUAUUUAAUAUUGUAUUAUGUUAACUGAUGUUCAUAUAGAGUGGGAAGCAAUAAUUAUAAAAUUGUUACCUGUUAGUGUUUUCCAAAAGUACUGCUUCUAAGAAAACACCCUGAGUUAAUCUGCGACAACAAGCUAUCACCUAUGAUAGGACAUAAGGCUGACUUUCAGAACUAACACUGACCCCAAUUAAAUGGAAGGAAUGACA